GGCUAUACAUUUUAAUAUUUAACUCUAUUUAUUGUUAUAUCCUCUUUUUUAUUUUUUUUUUAUUCUAUAUUUGUAAAAUGUUUUAGUUUUUGAUUUAUUUUGAGGAUGUAUAAAAUUUGGUGUUUGAACUGGAUUAGUACCCAGGUAAUCAAAGUUUAUUAAUUCGGGAGUAAAGUUUGAUUUAAACCGAAAAAAUAUUGACUGACCUUGGAUUUUUCUUUGGAAUAUGUGAUUUUUGGAUAGUCCUCCUUAUUAGUUAAUUUUGUUGGCGCAUGUAUGAUUGUUUAGUUUUUAUUUUAUUUGUAAUGCUUAUUAUGAUUUUUAUUUUAAAACAGAUAUAUAUUUGGCUUAUGGGUUGAUAUUUCAUGUGUUACUAUUAUUAAUUUUUUUUUGGAUUUUUUAUUAAUGUUUUUUUGAAAUUGGAAAAGAAAGUAAUUGAUUUUUUUAUGUUUGGAUGAAUUUAAUAAACAAGGUGGUACA
rnacentral:rRNA from 1 species